AGCACCUGUGUGUAUCUUUGUUGGAUUUGUAACAAAGCCUUACAGACAGGCACAAAUAGUAAAUCCUCUUUUUAACCCAGAACUCACUGCUGAGUAUGAGUUUAGGUAUAUGUUAGAAGGAAUAUG